GUGCUCACUUCAGCAGCACACAUAUACUAAAACUGGAACGAUAAAGAGAAGAUUAGCAUGGCCCCUGCGCAAGGAGGACACACAAAUUCAUGAAGCGCUCCGUAUUUUU
rnacentral:snRNA from 1 species